rnacentral:pre_miRNA from 1 species
UUAGCUCAUAUUUGUAUGGAAUGGGAUCGUUUGCGUACGUUUGCCGCUAGGGGCGCUGUUCCGACUGCAUACAAAAUUGGGUUA